rnacentral:misc_RNA from 1 species
GAAAUGCGAUAAGUAAUGUGAAUUGCAGAAUUCAGUGAAUCAUCGAAUCUUUGAACGCAUCUUGCGCUCCUUGGUAUUCCUAGGAGCAUGCCUGUUUGAGUGUCAUUAAUAUCUCAACCAUGUCACGGUUUCGUGGUUUAUGGCUUGGAUGUGGGGGUUACAGGCUCUAAAUUUUUUUUUGGUGGUCUGCUCCCCUGAAAUAUAUGAGCGGCAAAAUAAAAGUCUGUUCUGUUAGAUGUGAUACCUAUCUGCAUCUUAAGACGACGGAUGCUUUUUUGCUGCAAAUGUGGAUGCUGCUUUGUUGUUCUUGACCUCAAAUCAGGUAGGACCACCCGCUGAACUUAA